GAAGUUAAAAGGGCAUUUUUUUACUGCAAGGCCUGUCAUGAUGACAUCACAGAUCCCAAAAGAAUAAAAAAAUGUGGCUGCAAACGGCUGAUAUAUUUUGAAGAUGAGCAGCCAUCAACACUAUCACCAAAAAAAAAGCAACGGAAUGGAGGCAUGCGGAACUCACCCAACACCUCGCCUAAGCUGAUGAGGCAUGACCCCUUGUUAAUUCCUGGCAAUGAUCAGAUUGACAACAUGGACUCCAAUGUGAAGAAGUACGACUCUACUGGGAUGUUUCACUGGUGUGCACCCAAGGAGAUAGAGAAAGUCAUCCUGACUCGAAGUGAAGCUGCCAUGACCGUCCUGAGUGGCCAUGUCGUGGUCUGCAUCUUUGGCGAUGUCAGCUCAGCCCUGAUCGGCCUCCGGAACCUGGUGAUGCCGCUCCGUGCCAGCAACUUUCAUUACCAUGAGCUCAAGCACAUUGUGUUUGUGGGCUCUAUUGAGUACCUCAAGCGGGAAUGGGAGACGCUUCAUAACUUCCCCAAAGUGUCCAUAUUGCCUGGUACGCCAUUAAGUCGGGCUGAUUUAAGGGCUGUCAACAUCAACCUCUGUGACAUGUGCGUUAUCCUGUCAGCCAAUCAGAAUAAUAUUGAUGAUACUUCGCUGCAGGACAAGGAAUGCAUCUUGGCGUCACUCAACAUCAAAUCUAUGCAGUUUGAUGACAGCAUUGGGGUCUUGCAGGCUAAUUCCCAAGGGUUCACACCUCCAGGAAUGGAUAGAUCCUCUCCAGAUAACAGCCCAGUGCACGGGAUGUUACGUCAACCAUCCAUCACAACUGGGGUCAACAUCCCCAUCAUCACUGAACUAGUGAACGAUACUAAUGUUCAGUUUUUGGACCAAGACGAUGAUGAUGACCCUGAUACAGAACUGUACCUCACGCAGCCCUUUGCCUGUGGGACAGCAUUUGCCGUCAGUGUCCUGGACUCACUCAUGAGCGCGAUUCUGCUGCCCCACAGCUCUGCUCCUGGAUGCCUGCAUGGAAAAAUCAAGGAGAGCCAUCUGCGAUGCAGUGCCAGCUCAGAGAGCAGACAAUUAUGCUCAGAGAUAUGAGUGGUCCCAGAGUUGUUCAGACACCUGUGAAACCCUGGGACUGACUAUGAAAUUGUACCUGUUGAUGAGCAAUUCUAAAAGUCAUGCACUCUUUGACUUUCACACAAUUUCAGGCUAAACCAAGGCCCAACGAUUAGUAGGUGCUCAAUAAAUGUCAGUGACUGAUCAAAAAGAUUUGGGUAUAACUGAUUUCAACACAGAAGUGGGAACAUGUUAGGGUCAAAUCCCAAAGAUUUGACAAAACAAUAACCUCCCAGCCUGACCUUCUAGAUUUAUCAUUGCAAUGGAUAACCUAUAGUGCCCUUUGUUUAAAAAAAAUUGACUGUGUUUUUAUUAGAACAGUUAUUCAUACUUCUUGAUGAAAAUUUGGAAAGCACAGAAACAUAUAAAAGAAGACAUAUAAAGAAGAAAC
rnacentral:sRNA from 1 species